UACAGUGAGUUGUAUUUUAGGAUAUCUAGUCUUCAUUAAAAGAAAACUAAACUAAUGUUAUUUAUAUCUUAUUUCACUCAUAUUCAAUAAAUAAGAACUAUUUAAUAGGUUUAGAGUGUGCAACAGUUCCCGAUAACCGCAUGGAACAGAUUCUUGAUCAGUCAAACAGGCCGCCUCUAUUACACUACUCAAAUUAACUUAGGGAUAUUGUUAUUCACAUGAGUGCUUGUCCUAUUUGCUCUGAAAUGAAAUAAGUAAAAGUUUCCAUUGAUAUUACCAAUAAUAUAUGAGAAGAAACACCAUUUUCAGUAGUUUAAUAUUUAUUACUCCAAAAAUUUAGACAAUAACAAGAAUAGCCACAAAUAACAAAAAUUGACAAUGUCAGUAGCGCGCAUCAUUUGCCACAAUGACAGCUUGCCAGCAAAGUCUCAUGCUCCUCGCUAGCCUCAUGAUGUUGUUCUGAGGCAAUGCGUUCCACUCUUCGACAAGUGCUACACGCAGUUUUGCCAGGUCACGUGGGGGUGGGGUACGAUAAUCCAGCAUCUUCUUCAACUGGUCCCAGACUUGGGAUGCGUCCGAAACCGCCUACUACUCGGUAGGUACUGCAUUUGAAUUUAAACGUACUACUCGGCCGUUAGAAAAGUACUUUCUAUACAGUAUGAAUGUGAAAAGUAUGAAUAGAAUUCGGACGUACUACAUCCACUAUUUUGACAUAGUCACAUGACGUACCUGCAUCAUUUGCGUCGCUUUACUCCCAUUCAUGAAUUCGCUCUCG